AGGAGCGAUUAUAGAAUACCCGGCCACUUUUGAAUUUUGAUAGUGUUUGGUUUUGGGGGAUACGGGGAUACGCAGUCAUUAAUUAAAAUGACGUAAUUAUUCGAGUAGUUUAAAAGGAGAAUGGGUAACUAUUAUAUUUCAAUGAUACGGGGAUACGCAGUCAUUAAAAUGACGUAAUUAUUCGAGUAGUUUAAGAGGAGAAUGGGUAACUAUUAUUUUUCAAUGAUACGGGGAUACGGGGAUACGCAGUCAUUAAAAUGACGUAAUUAUUUGAGUAGUUUAAAAGGAGAAUGGGUAACUAUUAUUUUUCAAUGAUACGGGGAUACGCAGUCAUUAAAAUGACGUAAUUAUUGGAGUAGUUUAAGAGGAGAAUGUGUAACUAUUAUUUUUCAAUGAUACGGGGAUACGUAGUCAUUAAAAAGACGUAAUUAUUCGAGUAGUUAAGAGGAGAAUGGGUAACUAUUAUUUUUCAAUGAUACGGGGAUACGGGAAUACGCAGUCAUUAAAAUGACGUAAUUAUUCGAGUAGUUUAAGAGGAGAAUGGGUAACUAUUAUUUUUCAAUGAUACGGGGAUACGGGGAUACGCAGUCAUUAAAAUGACGUAAUUAUUCGAGUAGUUUAAAAGGAGAAUGGGUAACUAUUAUUUUUCAAUGAUACGGGGAUACGGGGAUACGCAGUCAUUAAAAUGACGUAAUUAUUUGAGUAGUUUAAAAGGAGAAUGGGUAACUAUUAUUUUUCAAUGAUACGGGGAUACAGGGAUACGCAGUCAUUAAAAUGACGUAAUUAUUCGAGUAGUUUAAGAGGAGAAUGGGUAACUAUUAUUUUUCAAUGAUACGGGGCUACGCAGUCAAAUCGUGCUCAUUUGAUAUGCAAAAUUUAUAUAUACUAAUGAGUAAUAUUUUGAAUUUUUUUCUGUGUUGGUGUUGUGUACUCAGGUGAAUAAUAUGUUUGCGAUGUUAUGCACUCAGAGUAAUAUUUUGUGCAGGGUUUAGUUGAGAACGUGAGAAAUACAAUAUAUGAGUAAUAUUUUGUGCGGGGUAUAUUGAGAACGAGAAAUACAAUAUAUGAGUAAUAUUUUGUGCGGGGUUUAUUGAGAACGAGAAAUACAAUAUAUGAGUAAUAUUUUGUGCGCGGUUUAGUUGAGAACGUGAGGACUGAGGAAUACAAUAUAUGAGUAAUGUUUUGUGCGGGGUACUGAUUGAGAACGAGAAAUACAAUAUACGAGUAAUAUUUUGUGCGGGGUUUAUUGAGAACGAGAAAUACAAUAUAUGAGUAAUAUUUUGUGCGGGGUUUAUUGAGAACGAGAAAUACAAUAUAUAAGUUAUAUUUUGUGCGGGGUUUAUUGAGAAUGAGAAAUACAAUAUACGAGUAAUAUUUUGUGCGGGGUUUAUUGAGAACGAGAAAUACAAUAUAUGAGUAAUAUUUUGUGCGGGGUUUAUUGAGACCGAGAAAUAAAAUAUAUGAGUAAUAUUUUGUGCGGGGUUUAUUGAGAACGAGAAAUACAAUAUAUGAGUCAUAUUUUGUGCGCGGUUUAGUUGAGAACGUGAGGAAUACAAUAUAUGAGUAAUGUUUCGUGCGGGGUAUAUUGAGAACGAGAAAUACAAUAUAUGAGUAAUAUUUUGUGCGGGGUUUAUUGAGAACGAG
rnacentral:lncRNA from 1 species